rnacentral:rRNA from 1 species
AACGAACGCUGACGGCGUGCUUAACACAUGCAAGUCGCACGAGAAAGUCUACCUUCGGGUGGAUUAGUAAAGUGGCGCACGGGUGAGUAACGCGUGGAUAAUCUGCCUUCAAGUCGGGAAUAACAUUGCGAAAGCGAUGAUAAUACCGGAUAAGCUCACGAUUUGAUUGGUUGUGGGAAAAGAUGGCCUCUGUAUAUGCUAUCGCUUGAAGAUGAGUCCGCGUACCAUUAGCUUGUUGGUAGGGUAAUGGCCUACCAAGGCUUCGAUGGUUAGCUGGCCUGAGAGGGCGGCCAGCCACAUUGGAACUGAGACACGGUCCAG